GAUGAACGCUGGCGGCGUGCCUAAUACAUGCAAGUCGAGCGAACAGACGAGGAGCUUGCUCCUCUGACGUUAGCGGCGGACGGGUGAGUAACACGUGGAUAACCUACCUAUAAGACUGGGAUAACUUCGGGAAACCGGAGCUAAUACCGGAUAACAUGUUGAACCGCAUGGUUCAAAAGUGAAAGACGGUUUUGCUGUCACUUAUAGAUGGAUCCGCGUCGCAUUAGCUAGUUGGUAAGGUAACGGCUUACCAAGGCAACGAUGCGUAGCCGACCUGAGAGGGUGAUCGCCCACACUGGAACUUAGACACGGUCCUGACUCCUACGGGAGGCAGCAGUAGGGAAUCUUCCGCAAUGGGCGAAAGCCUGACGGAGCAACGCCGCGUGAGUGACGACGGUCUUCGGAUCGUAAAACUCUGUUAUUAGGUAAGAACAAAUUUGUAAGUAACUGUGCACGUCUUGACGGUACCUAAUCAGAAAGCCCCGGCUAACUACGUG
rnacentral:rRNA from 1 species